CAUGAUGGUCCAGGAAAUCCACAAGAGGCAAGGGCUUUUUUGUGAUAGCUUUUAUUGGAAUUGGUCCAAUAAAAGAUAUCACAAAUAACACCCUUGCUCCAUGUACAAGUCAAAACAAACUAUUUUGUCUUUCCCCCAUCAAUUUUCAUUCAAAUCAAUGUGGCCUCACACACAGUUUUGAUGUCAGCAAAACCAAAUUCUCCAACAAAAAUUGACCCGAUCCACUAAAAAUGUAAGACCUCAGUCUACUUGUAAGUAACGCUAUACUGAUGUCUGUAAAAUCUACCCAUUUUAUUAGAUUCCCACAUGAGUAUAUCUAAAUGAUAAAGAAUUUGAAUUGGCAAAAGAUGCUGAGAGUCAGAGGAGAGUGUAAGGCAGAAACUUAAUUUUUUUUUUAAAGGACGGGAUGUGGGAGGUGGUAUUGUUCAUUUGUUAUUGAAACCUCCCUACUUGUGGGCAAUCUAAAAUUAGAAGAACUGAAAUGAAAAAGGAGUUUCCUGCAUAAGAGGCAGUCUGAAAAGAGGUACAGAAACAGCAAUAGCAAGAGGUGACAAAGGGGGCACUAAGGCAUCACUGCUAGAACAGACAGAGAAAUGGAGGGUGCAGAACAGGGACAUGGACAAUGAUGUUAGGACAAUUAAUGCAAGAUUUCCUCACCAAGUACAGGGGGAGAAUCAUAGGUUUGUUGCAAGAGAAAAAACAGAACUCUAUCGUGCAGCAUCACAGAGACAUCCACAACAGGCUUGGAACCUCUAGACCCCCGAUAGAGACUUUUCACAACUGGAACAAAUACUGAUGCCAGUUGCCAUUCUCUCUAAGGGCCAGAACUAAAGAGGGAUGGGACAAAUACUUUGCCAGUAGGAAAAAUACUUUCAUUUAUAUUUGCUUAUAGCAGAAGUUUGGUGAAACUCAGAAACUGAGGUUGCUAUUCCAGGCUUUGGAGGAGAGCGGGUUCCAAUGUGCUCAGAAUCUUCUGCCCAUUCUUUCCCCAGUCUUGACCUCUUCAGCUUGUCUGAUUCAGUCCUGCCUCUUCCCUGCCCCAGCUUGUCUCAGUUCCAGCAUAGUCCCAAACUCCACUCAUCAGGUGUCUCAUUUCAGUCUCAGUCUUCUUGGCCAUAUACUUCUAAGUCAACACCUCCAAGCUGACUGCUCAAGACUCUCCUACUUCCCACUCCUCCUCUUGAACUCAUUGCCAGCCAACUCCAACCUCUUCGUCCUCCACCACCAUCUCCCUGGCUCUUUACCAAGACAGCUUUUGUUCUUUCCAUACUCCGCCUUGUCCAAUCCAUUUCUUCACAACACCAACACCUUACAGCAUUCCAAUAACAUACGCAAUGACACUGAAAGAACCAGUCAACCCUCAAAUCUCUCCACGCACACACAUACCAAAGCUGAACAAUCUGUCCUCUCUAAAGGCCUUAAUUUCUUUCCAGCAAAAUACCCUAAUAAUAUACUACAAUGUGAAGAACUAGAAGAAUUUUUCUGAUGCCUCCAUCUCAAGGAAUAUUUCCACAACCAAAACAAAUCCACUUUCAACAACACUUAAUCUUUUGACAACAUCAAGGAAAAGACGAACCC